rnacentral:rRNA from 1 species
GACGAACGCUGGCGGCGUGCCUAAUGCAUGCAAGUCGAGCGCACCGGGCUUCGGUUCGGUGAGCGGCAGACGGGUGAGGAACACGUGGACAACCUGCCCCGGCCUGGGGGAUACCGCUCAGAAAUGGGCGCCAAUCCCGCGUACGCUCCUGGGGGGAGGGCCCUGGGAGGAAAGGCCCCGCGAGGGGUCGGGCGGGGAGGGGUCUGCGGCCCAUCAGCUAGACGGUGGGGUGACGGCCUACCGUGGCGAUGACGGGUCGCUGGUCUGAGAGGAUGGCCAGCCACACGGGGACUGCGGCACGGCCCCGACUCCUACGGGAGGCAGCAGCAAGGGAUUUUCCGCAAUGGGCGCAAGCCUGACGGAGCGACGCCGC